CUUAAGUGACCUUGGCCCCCAAGCCCUUUCCCUACUUCAUCAGGCCUGGGGUUCCCUUGGCUCAGCAUGUUUGGGGGUGAGACCAAAAAUGUGUGGCACCAUCACCAACAGACCCUGUUAAAACAGGAUAGAAGAAUCACAGGAAUGUACCUCCCAAACCCUCCCCAGACCCUGAGCCAUAGCUGAGGCUAUCUUCCCCCAGAAUGCCCAGAGAGGGGCGUCAGGGCCUUGUAGGCAAGAGCAGGAUGCGAGGCAGUCACAGAAAGCAUUUAGAGGUGGUGGCAGGUGUCACCGGCAGGGUGCUGGGCAAGCAGCUAACACAGAGCCAGAACAGUCCUGGUAAGACAAAGGGCAUGAGCCCAGGAAGGAGUCUAGGGGACCUAGGGUUCAGGGGGGCUGGCACCGCCCACCUCCUGCUACAUCACAAUGCCUACUGUCUAGACUGUGACUCCUCCCUUGGCUCUAACCUGUCCUAUCCACCCCUUAAGACCUAGCAGGACAAAGGUGGAGCCUGGACUUGGGCAAGGUGACUAGCUCAGAAAUCAUGCCACCCACCCCCCCCCCCCUCGAUGGAGCCUGGGAUAGAGUUGGCCUGGAGGCUUCCAAGGGGGAGAAAUGAAUGAGUGAAGAUUCUUCUUCUGGGUCAGAGAUAUGGCAACAACCUAAGUAUCUGUCAGUUGACGAAUGGAUAAAGAAGAUGUAGAAGACAGGUACAAUGGAAUAUUAUUCAGCCAUGAGGAAGAAGGAAAUUUUGCCAUUUGUGACAACACGGAUGAACCUUGAGGACACUACGCUAAGUGAUAUGUCAGAGAAAGACAAAUACCAUAUGAUCUCACUUAUGCAUGGAAUUAAAAUAGCCAGACUGGGUGCCUGAGUGGCUCAGUCGGUUAAGCCUCUGA